CUGAGUUGUUUCACCAAGGAGUUGGUUUGAACACCACAGGCAGCGUCUACAAACCAGUCUCAGGAAAUAUGCCAGAGUAUUCUGGUAGUCCAACUGAAAAGGCGAUCCUCUCUUGGGCUGUCCUGAAAUUGGGAAUGAAUAUGGAAGAACUGAAGCAAAACUCUAAUAUUAUUCAUAUUGAAACAUUUAACUCGGAGAAGAAACGAAGUGGUGUUUUGGCCAGAAGGAGAGCUGAUAACACCAUCCAUGUACAUUGGAAAGGAGCAGCUGAGAUGGUCCUAGCAAUGUGUUCCCAUUAUUAUCAGAGCAAUGGAGUGGUAAACUUGAUAAGUGAAUAUGAAAGAACACAGUUCGAGAAGAUCAUCGAAGGAAUGGCAGCAAGCAGUCUUCGUUGCAUUGCUUUUGCUCAUAGUAAAAUGCAGGAAGAAGAUAUGCAACAUAAAGGCGAAGGGACAAGCAACAAAAAGCUAAAAGAAGAUGGGCUAACCUUGCUAGGAAUUGUUGGUCUAAAGGAUCCUUGCAGACCAGGAGCAAAAAAAGCCAUUCAAACAUGCAGAUCUGCUGGGGUUGAUAUUAAAAUGAUCACUGGAGACAAUGUUUUCACAGCAAAG
rnacentral:lncRNA from 1 species